rnacentral:rRNA from 1 species
AGAGUUUGAUCAUGGCUCAGGAUGAACGCUAGCUACAGGCUUAACACAUGCAAGUCGAGGGGCAGCAUGUUGGUUGCUUGCAACCAAUGAUGGCGACCGGCGCACGGGUGAGUAACGCGUAUCCAACCUACCCUUGUCCAUCGGAUAACCCGUCGAAAGGCGGCCUAACACGAUAUGCGGUUCACAGCAGGCAUCUAAGGUGAACGAAUGUGAAGGAGAAGGAUGGGGAUGCGUCUGAUUAGCUUGUUGGCGGGGUAACGGCCACCAAGGCUACGAUCAGUAGGGGUUCUGGACGAGGAAGGUCCCCCACAUUGGAACUGAGACACGGUCCAAACUCCUACGGGAGGCA